rnacentral:rRNA from 2 species
UGGGGAAUAUUGCACAAUGGGGGAAACCCUGAUGCAGCGACGCCGCGUGAACGAAGAAGGUAUUCGUAUCGUAAAGUUCUGUCCUAUGGGAAGAUAAUGACAGUACCAUAGAAGAAAGCUCCGGCUAAAUACGUGCCAGCAGCCGCGGUAAUACGUAUGGAGCGAGCGUUGUCCGGAAUUAUUGGGCGUAAAGGGUACGCAGGCGGUUUAAUAAGUCGAAUGUUAAAGAUCGGGGCUCAACCCCGUAAAGCAUUGGAAACUGAUAAACUUGAGUAGUGGAGAGGAAAGUGGAAUUCCUAGUGUAGUGGUGAAAUACGUAGAUAUUAGGAGGAAUACCAGUAGCGAAGGCGACUUUCUGGACACAAACUGACGCUGGGGUACGAAAGCGUGGGGAGCAAACAGG